UAACCUUGGGUUAGGCAUGAUUACCCACUGAGUUUAAGCAUAUCAAUCAGCAUAGGAAACGAAAGUUACCAGGAUUCCUCUAGUAAUGACAAGUGAAAUGAAAAUAGAAUAACUUGAGAAUUAGGUGCCCUCAAAGUCUAAAUUGUAGUUUGAAGAAACAUUUUCACCAGCAGACAAGGCCUAAGUCCUCUAGAAAGGGGUAUUGGAAAAGGUGAGAGCCCCAUUGUGCCUAGACCUUAUCACACCAUGAGGUGCUAUAUGAGAGUUGGUUUGUUUGGGAAUGUAGCUCCAAUCAAGUGGUAAAUUCUAUCCAAGGUUGAAUGUGGGUGAGAGAUCGAUGAACAAGUACUACAAGGGAAAGAGUAAAAGGACUUUGAAAUGAGAGCAAAGAGUGCAUGAAAUUGUCAGAGUUAAGUGGAUAGGGGCUGAUGAUACACCCCAGUUAGAUAUGGAAUGGUGAGAGCUAGUUUAAUGAUCAGUUCAAGGCAGGGACCUUUGUGGGUCAUAGUGGUGGCCCAAGCUUGAGCUUUCAAUAUGCCCACAGAGAUGUCAUCAUUAUGAUCAUGGAAUGCAGCAUGCACCAUCUCAACGUGUCUCAGCACUAACAUGCUUUUGGUGUCAACCUAUGGGCUCUCCAUCUAGCCUGUCUUAAAACAUAGACCAAGGAGUCAAACAUGUGUGCAAGUCAAUAAGCUAGAAAACUCGUAAGGUGUAAGGAAGUUGAUCGGCAGGAUCCCUCAUGGGUGCAUUACCGACUAACCUUGAUCUUUUGAGAAGGGUUCGAGUGUGAACAUGGUUGUUGGGACCCAAAUGAUGCUGAACUAUCACUAAGCAGGGUAAAGCCAAAGAAAACUCUGGUAGAGGCCUACAAUAAUACUAACAUGCAAAUCAUUCGUCUGACUUGAAUGUAGGGGCCAAAGACUAAUCAAACCAUCUAGUAGCUAGUUCCUUUCAAAGUUUCCCUUAAGAUAGCUAGAGCCCUUACCGAGUUCUAUCAGGUAAAGCCAAUGAUUAGAUCUAUCGAGGGCACAAUGCCCUCAACCUAUUCUCAAACUUUAAAUACGUAGGAUGGUGCAGCUACUUUGUUAAGCCACUCUAUUGAAUCAAGAGCUUUAAGUGGGCCAUUUCUGGUAAGCAGAACUGAUGAUGUGGGAUGAACUAAAAGCCAGGUUAUAGUGCCUAAUUGCAUGGUAACCUAGAGCUCACAAAGGGUGUUGGUUGAUUAAGAUAGCAGAAUGGUGGUAAUGGAAGUCAAAUCUGCUAAAGAGUGCAUAACAACUCACCCAUCAAUUCAACUAGCCCCAAAAAUGUAUGGCACUUAAGCAUGCGACCUAUACCCAAUCAUUAUGGCAAAGGCCAAACCUUGAUGAGUAAACAGGCAAAGUGGUCACCGUAAAACCUGGGGUGUGAGCCUAGACAGAGCGACCAUCGAUGUAGAUCUUGGUGAUAGUAGCAAAUAUUCAAAUGAGAAAUUUAAAGGCCAAUGAGGGGAAAUGUUCCAUGUGAUUGGCACUUGCACAUGGGUUAGUCAAUCCUAAGAGAUGGGGAAGCUCAUCUGACAGCAUCUCUAGCAUGAGUUUUGAAAGGGAAUCAGGUUAAAAUUCCUAAAUCGAGACAUGGAGGUUAAUGACAAUGUUAGAGAAUCUAAAGACAUCAGUGAGGGCAUUAGGAAGAGUUAUUUAUUUUGUUUAAUAGCCUACCCAACUUAGAAACAGCUCAACUAGAGGUAGAGUCCAGGCCCUAAAAGAGCAUCGCAUGUCACUUGGUGUUCAGUGCGCCACUGAUGGCCCUUGAAAAUCUAGAAAACCAAGUGCCAUCUUUGUCCAAUCAUACACAUAACCACAUCAAGUCUCCAAGGUGAAUAGCCUUUGGUUGAUGGAACAAUGUAGGCAAGGGAAGUCAGCAAAAUGUGUCCAUAACCUUAAGAAAAGGAUUAGCUUUGAGGGCCAAGCACAAGAGUCCCAGUCUCGAACCCAUCAACUACUGUGCACUACUCGAGUUGCUCUUAUGAUAAGAAUAGGUUACCACAUGCUAACUAGGGGAUGGACUGGGUAUAACUCCCUUGGAUGCCUUUUUCGAGUGAUGAACAGUUGAUUUAGAAUUACUACAAAUAAGGAAAUCCAACCAUUUAAUUAAAACAAAGCAUUGCGAUGGACCCUAUGGAUGCUUACAUAAUGUGAUUUUUGCCCAGAGCUCUGAAUGUCAAAGUGAAAAAAUUCAACCAAGUGUGGGUAAAUAGUGAGAGUAACUGUGACUCUCUUAAGGUAGUAAAAUGCCAUGUCAUCUAAUUGGUGUCGCACAUGAAUGGAUUAAUGAGGUUCCUACUAUCCCCAUCUACUAUCCCACGUAACCAUAGCUAAUGGAAUAAGCUUGGUAGAAUCAGUGGGCAAUGAAGACCCUAUAAAGCUUGACUCUAGUCCAACUAUGUUAAAUGACUUACGAGGGGUAGGAUAAGUAGAAGCCCUUGGGUGAAAUUCAAAUACCACUACUUUUAACGUUAUUUUACUUAUUUUGUGAAUCGAAGGUAAGGCACGACCUCCUUUUUUGGACCCAAGGUCAACCUCAGUCAGUUGAUUUGAGUAGAAGACAUUAUUAGGUGGGAAGUUUGGCUAGGGUGGCACAUUUAUUAAAAGAUAACAUAGGUUUCCUAAGUUGAGCUCAAUGAGAUCAGAAAUCUCAUGUGGAACAAAGGGGUAAAAGCUCAUUUGAUUCUAAUUUCCAAUAUCAAUACAAACCAUGAAAGCAUGGCUUAUCGAUCCUUUAAACCUUCAAAAUUUGAAGCAAAAGGUGUCAAAAAAGUUACCAAAGGGAUAACUAGCUUAUGUCAACUAACCAUUCAUAGCGACAUUGCUUUUUGAUCUUUUGAUAUCAGCUCUUCCUAUCAUUGUGAAGCAAAAUUCAUCAAGUGUUGGAUUGUUCACCCAUUAAUGAGGAACAUGAGCUAGGUUUAGACCAUCAUAAGAUUGUUACUUUUACCCUACCAAUGGUAGCGUCGUAAUAUUAAUUCAACCUAAUACAAGAAGAACCAUUAAUUCACACAUUUAGGCAUCAUGAUUGGCUGAAAAGCCAAUGGUGUGAAGUUACUAUGUGCAAGAUUAUGAUUGAAUGCCUCUGAGUUGGAAUCCAGACAAUAAGGGAUGCACAUACCACUCACCCGAUUGCUGACUCGUAGUAGAGGCUUAUUGCCCCUAAGAACACGUGUCAUAGGUGUAGUCCCUAAGGUGGACAAGCCACGUGGGCCUUUUUUGGAGCUCAAUUCCCACUAAGCAAAAGAGUAAAAUCC
rnacentral:rRNA from 1 species